CACGUAGGGUGCGAGCGUUGUCCGGAAUUAUUGGGCGUAAAGAGCUCGUAGGCGGUGUGUCGCGUCGGCCGUGAAAACCUGCAGCUUAACUGUGGGCUUGCGGUCGAUACGGGCAUCACUGGAGUUCGGCAGGGGAGACUGGAAUUCCUGGUGUAGCGGUGAAAUGCGCAGAUAUCAGGAGGAACACCGGUGGCGAAGGCGGGUCUCUGGGCCACUACUGACGUGAGAAGCGAAAGCAUGGGGAGCGAACAGG
rnacentral:rRNA from 1 species